AUUGAACGCUGGCGGCAUGCCUUACACAUGCAAGUCGAACGGCAGCACGGGGCAACCUGGUGGCGAGUGGCGAACGGGUGAGUAAUGCAUCGGAACGUACCCUUCAGUGGGGGAUAACGUAGCGAAAGUUACGCUAAUACCGCAUAUUCUGUGAGCAGGAAAGCAGGGGAUCGCAAGACCUUGCGCUGAUUGAGCGGCCGAUGUCAGAUUAGCUAGUUGGUGAGGUAAAGGCUCACCAAGGCGACGAUCUGUAGCGGGUCUGAGAGGAUGAUCCGCCACACUGGAACUGAGACACGGUCCAGACUCCUACGGGAGGCAGCAGUGGGGAAUUUUGGACAAUGGGGGCAACCCUGAUCCAGCCAUGCCGCGUGAGUGAAGAAGGCCUUCGGGUUGUAAAGCUCUUUCGGCCGGGAAGAAAUCGCACGGGCUAAUACCCUGUGUGGAUGACUGUACCGGAAUAAGAAGCACCGGCUAACUACGUGCCAGCCGCCGCCUAAAAC
rnacentral:rRNA from 1 species